GAUGAACGCUGGCUACAGGCCUAACACAUGCAAGUCGAGGGGAAACGGCAUUGAGUGCUUGCACUGAAUGGACGGCGAGCGGCGCAAGGGAGAGUAACGCGAAUCCAACAUUCGCGUUACAGAGGGAUAACCUGCCGAAAGGAAGACUAGUACAGCAUGUUAAUCGCUGACGGCAUCAGAUUAGAAGCAAAGAUCCGUCGGUAACGGAGGGGGAUGCGUCUGAUUAGCUAGUUGGCGGGGGGACGGCCCACCAAGGCGACGAUCAGUAGGGGUUCUGAGAGGAAGCUCCCCCACAUCUGAACUGCGACCCGGACCACACUCCUACGGGAGGCAGCAGUGUGUAAUAUUAGUCACGAGGCGGUAGCCUGAACCCGCCAAGUAGCGUGCGGGAUUCCGGCCCUCCGGGUUGUAUGCUGCUUUUAUGCGGGGAUAAUGUGAGUGACGCGUCCCUUUUUGCCGGUACCGCAUGAAUAAGGACCGGCUAAUUCCGUG
rnacentral:rRNA from 1 species